rnacentral:rRNA from 1 species
UACGUAGGGUGCAAGCGUUAUCCGGAAUCAUUGGGCGUAAAGAGCUCGUAGGCGGUUUGUCGCGUCUGCCGUGAAAACUGGAGGCUCAACCUCCAGCCUGCGGUGGGUACGGGCAGACUAGAGUGAUGUAGGGGAGACUGGAAUUCCUGGUGUAGCGGUGAAAUGCGCAGAUAUCAGGAGGAACACCGAUGGCGAAGGCAGGUCUCUGGGCAUUAACUGACGCUGAGGAGCGAAAGCAUGGGGAGCGAACAGG